GGGUUCAGAGACUAGUCUCUGGAGGAAUAUUGCAAGUUGGUCGGGCCGCCACU
rnacentral:ncRNA from 12 species